AUUGAACGCUGGCGGCAGGCCUAACACAUGCAAGUCGAGCGGUAGCACAGAGAGCUUGCUCUCGGGUGACGAGCGGCGGACGGGUGAGUAAUGUCUGGGAACUGCCUGAUGGAGGGGGAUAACUACUGGAAACGGUAGCUAAUACCGCAUAACGUCGCAAGACCAAAGUGGGGGACCUUCGGGCCUCAUGCCAUCAGAUGUGCCCAGAUGGGAUUAGCUAGUAGGUGGGGUAACGGCUCACCUAGGCGACGAUCCCUAGCUGGUCUGAGAGGAUGACCAGCCAAGCGGGAACGGAGACACGGGCGAGACUCCUACGGGAGGCAGCAGUGGGGAAUAUUGCACAAUGGGCGCAAGCCUGAUGCAGCCAUGCCGCGUGUGUGAAGAAGGCCUUCGGGUUGUAAAGCACUUUCAGCGGGGAGGAAGGCGGUGAGGUUAAUAACCUCACCGAUUGACGUUACCCGCAGAAGAAGCACCGGCUAACUCCGUGCCAGCAGCCGCAGUAA
rnacentral:rRNA from 1 species